rnacentral:rRNA from 1 species
AGUGAACGCUGGCGGUAGGCCUAACACAUGCAAGUCGAACGGCAGCACAGUAAGAGCUUGCUCUUACGGGUGGCGAGUGGCGGACGGGUGAGGAAUACAUCGGAAUCUACUUUUUCGUGGGGGAUAACGUAGGGAAACUUACGCUAAUACCGCAUACGACCUACGGGUGAAAGCAGGGGAUCUUCGGACCUUGCGCGAUUGAAUGAGCCGAUGUCGGAUUAGCUAGUUGGCGGGGUAAAGGCCCACCAAGGCGACGAUCCGUAGCUGGUCUGAGAGGAUGAUCAGCCACACUGGAACUGAGACACGGUCCGGACUCCUACGGGAGGCAGCAGUGGGGAAUAUUGAACAAUGGGCGCAAGCCUGAUCCAGCCAUACCGCGUGGGUGAAGAAGGCCUUCGGGUUGUAAAGCCCUUUUGUUGGGAAAGAAAAGCAGCAGGUUAAUACCCCGCUGUUCUGACGGUACCCAAAGAAUAAGCACCGGCUAACUUCGUG